rnacentral:rRNA from 1 species
CCACGGGUGUGCAGCAGUGGGGAAUAUUGGACAAUGGGCGAAAGCCUGAUCCAGCCAUGCCGCGUGUGUGAAGAAGGCCUUCGGGUUGUAAAGCACUUUCAGUGGGGAAGAAAGCCUUGGGGCUAAUACCCUCGAGGAAGGACAUCACCCACAGAAGAAGCACCGGCUAACUCCGUGCCAGCAGCCGCGGUAAUACGGAGGGUGCGAGCGUUAAUCGGAAUUACUGGGCGUAAAGCGCGCGUAGGCGGUCUGAUAAGCCGGUUGUGAAAGCCCCGGGCUCAACCUGGGAACGGCAUCCGGAACUGUCAGGCUAGAGUGCAGGAGAGGAAGGUAGAAUUCCCGGUGUAGCGGUGAAAUGCGUAGAGAUCGGGAGGAAUACCAGUGGCGAAGGCGGCCUUCUGGACUGACACUGACGCUGAGGUGCGAAAGCGUGGGUAGCAAACAGGAUUAGAUACCCUAGUAGUC